ensembl:snoRNA SNORD94 small nucleolar RNA, C/D box 94
AUGGCUGUGAUGAUUGGCGCAGGGGUACGGACCUCAGCUAGAUCAUGGGAGCUGAAUGUGAACUCUGGUCUUUCCAGUGUGGCUGACAUGUGGUUGGCUGCCUGGAAACAAGUUCACAUGAGAAUUCUGCCUGACGCUGAGCCAU